ensembl:miRNA tgu-mir-2986 tgu-mir-2986
UUCAUCUGAGGAUCUUCAUCUGGGGAUCUUCUGGAGAACUUCUGGAGAACUUCUGGAGAACAUCUGGAGAACUUCUGGAGAACUUCUAAAGAACUUCUGCUGGACACCAGGAGAUCUUCAUCUGGGGAUCUUCUGGAGAA